rnacentral:rRNA from 1 species
AGUGAACGCUGGCGGUAGGCCUAACACAUGCAAGUCGAACGGCAGCACAGGAGAGCUUGCUCUCUGGGUGGCGAGUGGCGGACGGGUGAGGAAUACAUCGGAAUCUACUCUGUCGUGGGGGAUAACGUAGGGAAACUUACGCUAAUACCGCAUACGACCUACGGAUGAAAGCAGGGGAUCUUCGGACCUUGCGCGAUUGAAUGAGCCGAUGUCGGAUUAGCUAGUUGGCGGGGUAAAGGCCCACCAAGGCGACGAUCCGUAGCUGGUCUGAGAGGAUGAUCGACCACACUGGAACUGAGACACGGUCCAGACUCCUACGGGAGGCAGCAGUGGGGAAUAUUGGACAAUGGGCGCAAGCCUGAUCCAGCCAUACCGCGUGGGUGAAGAAGGCCGUCGGGUUGUAAAGCCCUUUUGUUGGGAAAGAAAUCCAGCUGGCUAAUACCCGGUUGGGAUGACGGUACCCAAAGAAUAAGCACCGGCUAACUUCGUGCCAGCAGCCGCCGUAA